GAUGAACGCUGGCGGCGUGCCUAAUACAUGCAAGUCGAGCGAACAGACGAGGCGCUUGCUCCUCUGUCGUUAGCGGAGGACGGGUGAGUAACACGUGGAUAACCUACCUAUCUGAGUGGGAUCACUACGGGACACGGGCGAUAAUCCCGGAUAAUAUAUUGAACCGCAUGGUUCAAUAGUGAAAGUCGGCUUUGCUGGCACUUCUCGAUGGUUACCAGCUGCAUUAGCUGGUUGGUAGGGUCAAGGCUUACCACGGCGAGGAUGCGUAAGCGAGCUGCGAGGGUGAUAGCCCACACUGGAACUGAGACACGGUCCAGACGCCUACGGGAGGGAGCAGUAGGGAAUCUGCCGCAGUGGGCGAAAGCCUUACGGAGCAACGCGGCGUGAGUGAUGAAGAUCUUCGGAUCGUAAAACUGUGUUAUGAGGGAUGAACAAAUGUGUAAGGAACUGUGCACGUCUUGACGGUACCGAAUCAGAAAGCCACGGCUAACUACGUG
rnacentral:rRNA from 1 species